rnacentral:rRNA from 1 species
GAUGAACGCUGGCGGCGUGCUUAACACAUGCAAGUCGAACGGAAAGGCCCAAGCUUGCUUGGGUACUCGAGUGGCGAACGGGUGAGUAACACGUGGGUGAUCUGCCCUGCACUUCGGGAUAAGCCUGGGAAACUGGGUCUAAUACCGGAUAGGACCACUUCUUGGAUGUUGUGGUGGAAAGUUUUUUCGGUGUGGGAUGAGCUCGCGGCCUAUCAGCUUGUUGGUGGGGUAAUGGCCUACCAAGGCGUCGACGGGUAGCCGGCCUGAGAGGGUGUACGGCCACAUUGGGACUGAGAUACGGCCCAGACGCCUACGGGAGGCAGAAGGGGGGAAUAGUGCACAAGGGGCGCAAGCCUGAUGCAGCGACGCCGCGUGGGGGAUGACGGCCUUCGGGUUGUAAACUCCUUUCGCUAGGGACGAAGCGUUUUGUGACGGUACCUGGAGAAGAAGCACCGGCUAACUACGUG